rnacentral:rRNA from 1 species
UACGAAGGGUGCAAGCGUUACUCGGAAUUACUGGGCGUAAAGCGUGCGUAGGUGGUUCGUUAAGUCUGAUGUGAAAGCCCCGGGCUCAACCUGGAGCCGCCACCCGAUACUGCAAUGGCUAGAGUCCGGUAGGGGAGGCAUGGAACUCCUGGUGUAGCGGUGAAAUGCGCAGAUAUCAGAAAGAACACCAGUGGCGGAAGGCGGUGCUCUGGGCCGGAACUGACGCUGAGGAGCGAAGCGUGGGAGCAAACAGG